UUCAAAGCUUUUAAUUUAUUGUUGGAUCAAUGUGCUCACAGAUUUGUUCAAAAAACAAUUAUUAUAUUAGUUGUAAAAGAAAUAAAAAAGAGCUAUCACUCGGCUGUAUAUUUUUCAUCAUUAUAGAUGGGAAUAGAAAAAUGGGAAUAAAACAACAGCAAUGAGCUACUAACAAUCCAGUUGCUUGCAAAGUGAUUGACCUACAACAGACAUACCAACAACUUUGUAUCUCUUCUAUUAAAAUCCUCUCA
rnacentral:lncRNA from 1 species